rnacentral:piRNA from 1 species
GAAGGCUGGAGCUAAAAGAAGGGA